AACAGUGAGAUCAUGACCUGAGCUGAAGUCUGACGUUUAACUGACUGAGCCACCCAGGCACCCCAUGUUUCCUUUGAGUAUUUUAACUGUGUUAUCUUUGGCAUAACAUUUUGCUAUUCAAGUGUGAUGAUAAUCUAAGUUUCUUUAUAAAUUAGGAGAUUUUUUUUGCCUAGAUGUCAGAGAGUCUUUUUCCUUAAAAUAUAAUCAUUUUAUUUGGGUAGAUCUUUGGUGUUAGUCUUUCUGAAUUGAUACUCUCAGAUAACUCUCGUAUCUACAGCAGUGUGCAUCCUUUGAGUAUGUAGUUUAAUUAAAAAAAUAAUAGUAUUGGUUAAGUUUUGUUUGUUUUUGUUUUUGUUUUUUACCGGUUUUAUUGUUCUUUUCCCUUAUUUUGGUUUAGUUUUUUAGGGACUCCCGCUGUACUUAUGUUGUAUCUCUAUUGCCUAGCUUGCAAUACUUACUUUCUUUCAGAAUUUAAAAAAAAAUCUUAUGCAUCAUUUCUUUUUUGGUUUUAAAAAGAUUUCUCUGUUUUUGCUUUCUUUUUCUCUUACAGUAUUUAUUUGGUCUUGUGUUCCUAUCAAAAAUGACUUUCACAUUUAUAAAUUAGCUCUUGAAUUCUGUCAACUCAUUUUUGAGUUUUUCUAAUUCUUAUUUAUGUUCUUUCAUGCCUUACCUAUUUUCCUUAUGCCUUUUAGUUUUUUAAUACUAACAGUUUUGGUCGUUUUUUCCUCUUUUUUUGAACACUCAUUCUGGCAUUCUUCCCUUUUCUGUAGGGAUAUUAUUCUGCUACUCACUAUAUUUAUAGUAAUUUUGUAAGGGAUUUGAUCCUGUUAACUUUUUUUUUGCUCAUUUUAUAUAAAAUUAGUUCUUUUGAGUUCUUUAGAAAUUGGCUGUUUUCCUGUGUGUGUUUGUACACGUACUUGCAUGUAUGUCGGCCAAAAAACCUUACUGCUGGGUUUCCUAGCUAUUUGCCUUUUGCACACUUUUAUCUGGACCUUCUCUUUUGUCUCUGUUAUUCCUGUCCCGCCCAACUUUGAUUGCACUGCCAAAAGUUUCUCCACAGUGUUGGGCCCUGUCCAGAAAGGCCUGAUAGGUCAGUGUUGAGAAUUCCUAGGGGUCACACUGCUCCAGUUGAUUCAGGCUCUGCUGCCUGAUUCCUUGCUCUCACCCACUAUUAGAGCAGGGGAAAUCCCUCCCAGUUUCCACUGCUGUUCUCAAAUUGUUCUGCCAUUCUUUCCAGUGAAGAAUACGUAUCAGUUAUUUGGGGGUUCUUCAGGUCUUAGGUAUGUCAGACACUGUAUGGCUUUCCUUCCACGUAGGUAUUGGGAACACACAAGUCUCAUAGCUGGUUGCUCAGCCCUGACUGCUUGUGUUUUAUACCUGAAGAGCAUUUAUUGGUUACCUGGAUUUGUUGUAAAUGUCUGUGGUUUUUUU